AUUGCAAUCGAUUAUUCGAUAUCGGUAGGCGCAAUGUUAGUCGUAACGGAUUGUCAUCACUACGCUCGCUCCAAAUUUUGUAAAUAGUGUAAUUCAUUUUCUUAUUGUACAUUUGAAGUGUUAUUUUUUGUUGUGUUCUAAAGUUUCGUCAACAGCCAUGAACAGCAACAGGCACAUACUAAUUCGAUUAGUUAAAGAGAAGGAGAAAUGCCUAAAAAAAGAUUUAGGGAAAUAGAGCGAGCGCAGCCGCCAAAUGAAAUAGAAGUGUCUAAUAGUUGGGCUUUCAACACAGCAGGUUUUAAUAAUCAUAUGGAAGUUUUAGAAACAGAGAGUAAGGUAUAGAAACUUAUGACGGACCCCCAGUUUUGCAAAAUAGUGGUUUGUUAAAUGACAAGCUUCGCCAAUGGCACAAUAAUCAUAGUCUCCCGCGAAUGCGCCAAAGACCUGAUUAAAAUUUUGCGCGAUGAAAAUUCAGACGUCAGUUUAUUUUAAAAGUCUUCUUGUCCUUCCAAGUUAAUUAUUUCGCGGGUAGCAGGUGGCCAAUAUUUACAUGUAGGAGCUUAAAAUCAAUUUAUGAAGUUAUUAGACUGCUAUCAGAGUGAUAAACAGUUAGUGAUAGACAUUAAUUUAGACGGACUAUGACGGAAUAAUGACACAUUAUUUAAAAGUUCCAGGGCUCAACUCUGGCACAUUUCCUUUGGCGAACCUCUUCAACAGCCGUCAGUGUGCACAAGUUGUUGAGAAGUCAAGAAGCAAAUUGCGGAAAUAAAUGGAACUGGUACGGACACGAGCGAAAGACACAAACGUGACGAAAUAUUUUCUAAUAAAAGAUGAGGAGACCCUAAAUAUCGUGGUGCAAAGGACUCCUCCAUUAAAGCCAUGAGAUCUUUUUUGCUGCCAGAAGGGGUUUUAAAAAAACUUUCGGAGGGUUCUCAGAGAUGAGUUUGCUGUAGGAUUGAAUGUUAAUGGCCUUUCCGGGAAAGAAGCCGUUAGCUCGUAUACACAUUUCUAUGGUGCACUUCCAGAUGUUGUUUCAGAAUCCGGCAAUGCAGAAAUGUUGAUUCCCAAGGCAAUUCAAUUGUAAAUGAAUCGAUUUUUUAAAACCAAAUCAAAAUCAAAUAAUAAUAACAAUGACAAAAUUAAUUAAAACGUUACAACCGAAAAUUUAACUGAGGAAUCUGUUCAAUUUAAAGAAAUAAAAAAAUAUCUAUCUAUACUAAUAUAAAUAAAUUUAACAAA